rnacentral:lncRNA from 1 species
AUCUUGCAAUUCUAUAGGUGUUAGUGUCCGAAAGCUGUUGUCGUAUUUUGUUAUUGUAAUGACGUUUUCGAAUGAACGCUCUCAGAGCACUCCAGGAGCGAGUUUUGUGUUCGAGAGAAAACCGAGCAGGUUGAGUGUAGCGACCGCAUUUUCGAGGGACGGUUGAAAUACUAAAUUUUGAUUGGUCUAUGAACAAAAAUCUGCUAGGAAAGCAGGGGUCAGAGCGGUUCGAGCAACACAAAUAUGGCAGAGCCACUUCAUGAAGUACGAAUAAUCGAGGAGUUAUUUUUGUCCGAGAAUUCCGAUGACGAAGAAGAUAUUUUAUUAUUGCGGAAUAUCGCCAAUAGAAAACACCAGAUUCCGCGCAUCCAAAAUUACAUCGCUGACGUUGUUAACCACUAUAACGAUAAACAAUUCAAAAGUCAUUUUAGAGUGUCGCGAGAAACUUGCCAUUAUUUGAUAUCUUUAUUCAAACAGAGCGAACAUUAUCCCUAAGGACCACCUUUCGGUGGUGUGAGAGUAAACACUGCUGAAGAGUUUAUUCUAUGUUAUUUAUGGUUUGCAGGUAACAAAUCUGUUUACUGCAUUGUAGCUCAACUCUUUGGUUUGAGUUUGUCAACAGCGCACGCAAUGAUAGAAAGUGUAACGACUCAUUUUGCAGAUGAAUUGGGUCCUCUGGUUAUCAGAUUUCCUCGUACCUUGCAGGAGA